rnacentral:lncRNA from 1 species
GGGCACUCAUUUUGCAAGCUCGCAGAAAGUGUGGUCAUGCCAACUCUGAAUUCUCUGACAUUGGAAUAGAUCGAAAGCAUCCUACAAUCGCCGCCCGCCAGGCGCCCACGUGACCUCGUUGUCUUUGCGGCAUGUGCAAACUUGUUCACAGCUGUGGCUGUUGUCAUCACUUCAGCGGGAUUAUGUGCACUGUUGGCACUUCAUGUGCCGGGUUUAAUUGCCAUGUAAAAUGCCUUCAGAAAGAUUAUACUAUGAUUCAGCAUUGAAAGGAAAACUUACGGUGUAUUCAGAAAGAGCAGACACCUUCAUAGAACUCCCUCAUCCCACACAAGACGCAAGUCAGAAAAAACAAAUCUCUACUCAAUUGUCCUGCUGUCUGUGACCUGGGAAAAGAGACUGUCUGAGGGAUGAGUUGGGUCUCUUGUAACUGCAACAAAGUGAAUGUCUCCGGAUGUUCUAAAAGACCCUUCUCAGAGGCCCCAGGAACCUUCCUGCAAACCAAGACUUCCCUCCAGGCACCUUGUUUACCCCGAUGUGACCAAUUCUAUCUAUGCAGAAGCUGCCUAUCCAGUUUUUAAUAUAAGUUGGGCAGAUGUCAGCUCAAGAAGAAGGAAUGAGGGGAGGCACUCAAAGGCGACUCUCACCAAAAAGGAUUUCUUCGUAUUCUGACUUCCAGAGUACAGUCGCUAUCUAUAAAAUAUCCUCCCUCUCCGGCCUCCCACCCUCAGCUGUCAAGAGAUGACUAUUCUGCAUACAGACUGUCAAUGGAUUUCAGCCUUCCAGUUCCACUUCUUCCUCUUCCCCAGCUGUUAGCAUCUAGUUCUGUGCUGUCCAACCCAAUCACAAUAUGCCACCUGAUGCUACUGAACACUCUGAAUAUGGUGAGCUUGAAUUGAAGUGUGACACAGUGUAGAACACACAGACUUUGAAGGCUUAGCACCAAAAAAAGAAUGUAGAUCUCUCACCAAUAAUUUUAAUAUUGAGUACAUGUUGAAAUGAAGCCAUUUUAGAU